rnacentral:rRNA from 1 species
CCUACGGGUGGCAGCAGUGAGGAAUAUUGGUCAAUGGACGAGAGUCUGAACCAGCCAAGUAGCGUGAAGGAUGACUGCCCUAUGGAUUGUAAACUUCUUUUAUAUGGGAAUAAAACGUUCCACGAGUGGGAUUUUGUAUGUACCAUAUGAAUAAGGAUCGGCUAACUCCGUUCCAGCAGCCGCGGUAAUACGGAGGAUACGAGCGUUAUCCGGAUGUAUUGGGUUUAAAGGGAGCGUAGGUGGAUUGUUAAGUCAGUUGUGAAAGUGUGCGGCUCAACCGUAAAAGUGCAGUUGAAACUGGGAGUCUUGAGUACAGUAGAGGUGGGCGGAAUUCGUGGGGUAGCGGUGAAAUGCUUAGAUAUCACGAAGAACUCCGAUUGCGAAGGCAGGUCACUGGACUGCAACUGACACUGAGGCUCGAAAGUGUGGGUAUCAAACAGGAUUAGAUACCCGUGUAGUC